AAUCUUGCACAAUGGGCGAAAGCCUGAUGCAGCGACGCCGCGUGGGGGAUGAAGGCCCUAGGGUCGUAAACCCCUUUCAGGAGGGUCGAAAAUGACGGUACCUCCAGAAGAAGGUCCGGCCAACUACGUGCCAGCAGCCGCGGUAAGACGUAGGGACCGAGCGUUAUCCGGAUUUAUUGGGCGUAAAGAGCUCGUAGGCGGUUGCGUAAGUCGGAUGUGAAAACUCAGGGCUUAACCCUGAGACGCCAUCCGAUACUGCGCUGACUUGAAUCCAGUAGGGGAGUGUGGAAUUUGUUGUGUAGCGGUGAAAUGCGCAGAUAUGACAAGGAACACCUAUGGCGAAGGCAGCACUCUGGGCUGGUAUUGACGCUGAGGAGCGAAAGCAUGGGUAGCAAACAGGAUUAGAUACCCUGGUAGUCCAUGCCGUA
rnacentral:rRNA from 1 species